UGAGGAAUAUUGGUCAAUGGGCGAGAGCCUGAACCAGCCAAGUAGCGUGCAGGAUGACGGCCCUAUGGGUUGUAAACUGCUUUUAUAUGGGAAUAAAGUGAGGGACGUGUCCCUUAUUUCAUGUACCAUAUGAAUAAGGACCGGCUAAUUCCGUGCCAGCAGCCGCGGUAAUACGGAAGGUCCAGGCGUUAUCCGGAUUUAUUGGGUUUAAAGGGAGCGUAGGCUGUUUGUUAAGCGUGUUGUGAAAUGUAAGAGCUCAACUUUUAGAUUGCAGCGCGAACUGGCAGACUUGAGUGCGCACAACGUAGGCGGAAUUCAUGGUGUAGCGGUGAAAUGCUUAGAUAUCAUGACGAACUCCGAUUGCGAAGGCAGCUUACGGGAGCGCAACUGACGCUAAAGCUCGAAGGUGCGGGUAUCGAACAGG
rnacentral:rRNA from 1 species